GACGAACGCUGGCGGCGUGCUUAACACAUGCAAGUCGAACGGAAAGGCCCUGCUUUUGUGGGGUGCUCGAGUGGCGAACGGGUGAGUAACACGUGAGUAACCUGCCCUUGACUUUGGGAUAACUUCAGGAAACUGGGGCUAAUACCGGAUAUGAGCUCCUGCUGCAUGGUGGGGGUUGGAAAGUUUCGGCGGUUGGGGAUGGACUCGCGGCUUAUCAGCUUGUUGGUGGGGUAGUGGCUUACCAAGGCUUUGACGGGUAGCCGGCCUGAGAGGGUGACCGGCCACAUUGGGACUGAGAGACGGCCCAGACUCCUACGGGAGGCAGCAGGGGGGAAUAUUGCACAAUGGGCGGAAGCCUGAUGCAGCAACGCCGCGUGCGGGAUGACGGCCUUCGGGUUGUAAACCGCUUUCGCCUGUGACGAAGCGUGAGUGACGGUAAUGGGUAAAGAAGCACCGGCUAACUACGUG
rnacentral:rRNA from 1 species